GGGCCCGCACAAGCGGUGGAGCAUGUGGUUUAAUUCGAUGAUACGCGAGGAACCUUACCAGGGCUUAAAUGUAGUGGGACAGGUCUAGAGAUAGACCCUUCUUCGGACUCAUUACAAGGUGCUGCAUGGUUGUCGUCAGCUCGUGCCGUGAGGUGUCAGGUUAAGUCCUAUAACGAGCGCAACCCCUAUCGUUAGUUGCCAGCGGGUAAUGCCGGGAACUCUAGCGAAACUGCCGGUGCAAACCGUGAGGAAGGUGGGGAUGACGUCAAAUCAUCACGGCCCUUACGUCCUGGGCCACACACGUGCUACAAUGGCCGGUACAGAGAGCAGCCACUACGCGAGUAGGAGCGAAUCUAUAAAACCGGUCUCAGUUCGGAUCGCAGUCUGCAACUCGACUGCGUGAAGCUGGAAUCGCUAGUAAUCGC
rnacentral:rRNA from 1 species